GCAAUCAAGUUUAUGAAUUGGAUAUGAUUGAACCGAUGCUGUGCAAUUAAUUGGAAUUGCAGAGAGAGCCUCGUAGAUAAAUUGCUGAGUCGGCUUAUUCGUCAUCUUUAUCCGAUGAAUUUCUCUUCUCUUCGUUUCUUUAUAUACUCACUAACUCCUCACUCUCUCAUCAUCUCUCUCGCCUGCUCUCUCCUCUCUCUCUCUAUCGAUUCUUGAAUGGAAUCAUAGAAAUUGUUGGAAAAAUCAAGUUCUACGAGAGGAUUUUGAGUAAUUAAGUUUAGGUUGAAGGAUUGGGAGAUUAGAGAAGAAAGCGCCUAAUUGAUUCUUCAGAGAGAGGGGCUGCAAGAAGGUUUUAUCAAUGGAGUCUUGACGAUCCGAAAGUAUUGUUGGGAAACUUGAGAAGCAAGCUUCCCGAUGGUGAAGUAUUUCGCCGGCGGAGGUCACCGGUGGUCGGAAGACGGCAAGAAGUGCAGCCUGCCCCUGAACUUUAGGAGUCGAUUUGAGUUAUGUCGGCAAAAUUCAGAGAAAUGAAGAACUGCUGCCGCACCUGUUUUCGGAGCAGAAUUUGGAGAGUUUGGAGUGCGAAUUUGGGAAUCAUUCCUUGACGAAACUCGUGGAGGACCGCGAGAUAUAUUAGUAAGUGUCAAAUUGCUUCUAAUUUGAGCAAGGUUUAUAGACUUUUAGAGAUGAGAAUUAGACGGCUGUAAAUCUGUUAAAACAGGGCAGUUUUGAGUAUUCUUCUUACGGGGCCGUGUUUGCUAUGUUGAGCUAAUAAUUUGAGUUGUGUGUCUUCUGAGAACUUGUAGUUUACAUUGUAAGGUUCAAUUUGGUGUAUUAUUUGGACAAUUUGGAUAACUUAACAAAUUGUUAUGAUUUUUAAAACAAACUGUGCCAACAACAAUUUUCCAAAAAAAAAAAAAAAAAAAUAAACCUGGCAGUUUCAUGUACUCAUCUUCCGAGGCUGUUAUUACUGUGUUAGGUCGAUUAUUUGGGCUCAGGGUCUUCAGUAAACCUGUAGACACUGAUGUUAGCUUUAAUUCGAUAUAUCGUUUAGGUUAUUCGGAUAAGUAAGGUGAUCGUAACGAUUGUUCGAAUAAGCUGUGGCAGCAAGACAUUCGUAACAAUGUUUCAAGAAAUUGACUAUGUGAUAUAGUGGAAUAAUACGAUUAUAUUAGCAUUUGGAAUCUUGUUAAGUGAUGAAUAUGUUUAUAGGUGUCGAGCGUACUAAAGCUCUCAUUCAAGACUUGAGCAUGACUCGAGAGUAAGGUGUUCUUAUAGCACUUGCAUUGGACUUCAGGUGAGGAUCCCUACCCCUUGCCUAUUCUUUCUGAAAAACAGAAUAUAUGCCGAGCACUCGUAUCGUUCGGUUUAUUAUUCUUAUUACUCGUCUUUUAAAUUCAAUAUAUAUUUAUUGUCGCCUAUCCUGUGAACUAAUUUGAUUUCCGAGAAUUGUUGAUUCUUGAGCUAUUACAAUCUUUGAUCGUUUCGAAAUCCUUUUCCUGGAACUUAAUAAGUUCUCAUCGUGAUUCGCGAAUUAUUCGAGUAAUUUCUCAUCCCGAUUCCUUGAUUACUCAAUUGAGUUCUUUUAUCGACUUGAAUAAUUCAACGAGUUUCAAUUCGUUUCUCUAUCAAUUCGGAAUUGUUUCACAUCUUUACUUGUAUACUAGUUGGAACCACUUCUUCUAUAAUGAUUCACUAUGAUUUGUUUCUAAAGUGGUUCAUUGAACGUAAAUCGUUCUUUUCCCGACUCUUGGUCCAUUUAGGAUUAUUGUAUUUAUCCACUAAAUCAUUCGUUUAGUACCCUUCUUGACUUGUGAUUUUGUGACCACAAGAUAUUAUCACUUGUUAUUGGAAUUCAUUAUGGGGAUUCAAAAUGUAAAUUGAGAUAGUCGGAAGCAUAUCCGUAUCUCUAUAUUAUUGAUUCCUUUGGGGACGCCCUAAGGAUAAUUGACCAGUUGGGCCCGGGGCUGUUCGAAAAAGACUGCUGGGCGGUAUUGGGCCGACGGUGGAUGGUCUCUUCGACGGUACCCAUAUUGGAUUCAGACCAUUGGCAUAGUUGGAGGUUAACUGUGCUGAUGGCUGAAUCGGCAUGCGCCCGGGCAUGCCUAUUGAUCGAUUAGCAGGGUAGCUCCCUGAUCGGUGUUAUAAGGUAGUUACGGCUAAGGGAGUCACAAGGCAGGUACAGGUACAUGAACAAAUUGUUACCAUGGGAAUCUCCAUGGUCUCAUAUUUGAUAUCCGAAAUUGUUAUCGUGGGAAUCUCCACGAAAUUCAUAAUUGAUAUCCGGGAAUUACCCGUUGAAUAUUGUUCUUUACCUGUACAUAUUGAUUAUAUUGUCGAUUCUGAUCAUAUUGAUGUGCCUUAUACUUUGGCCUCUUAUUCCUUAUCGGACAAUCAUUCUCUAGAUGGUCCAAUUUCAACUCCAAUUCCAUCCCCAAUUCCUUGAACACUUAUAUUGUGAUUAUUAUUUGAUUCGACUGUUUUUCCCUUGUACUCCUCACUAAGUCCACUUGGACUUACUCCUCCUUUAUUUUUCUUCUUAUUCUCAGUAACAGGUGCAUUAGUGGACGAUAUUGUUGAUGACUCUUAGGAGUAGAAGUUAUUCAAAGAUCUUAGAGAGUUUAAUCUAGUGUUGUGUUUAAGAAUGAUUGUAAUUCGAGAACUAUGAAUACGAGAUUAGUUGUGGCAUUUGGUUGUCACGUGUAUUUGAUAUUAUUGUUGAGAAAUUAAGUAGGAGACAUUGUAUUUAUCGGAAGUCAUUGUAUUUAUUUAUUGUAAUG